GGGCUGCAGUGAGGAAUAUUCCGCAAUGGGCGAAAGCCUGACGGAGCGACGCCGCGUGUGUGAUGAAGUCUUUCGGGAUGUAAAACACUGUCAGGGGGGAAGAUAUUGACGGUACCCCCAGAGGAAGGCCCGGCUAACUACGUGCCAGCAGCCGCGGUAAUACGUAGGGGCCAAGCGUUGUCCGGAUUUAUUGGGCGUAAAGAGUGCGUAGGCGGUUAAAUAAGUCAGAUGUUAAAUCUCCAGGCUCAACCUGGAACAUGCGUCUGAAACUAUUUGACUUGAGAAUUGUAGAGGGAAGCGGAACUUCUGGUGUAGCGGUGAAAUGCGUAGAUAUCAGAAGGAACACCCGUGGCGAAGGCGGCUUCCUGGACAUUUUCUGACGCUGAGGUACGAAAGCUAGGGUAGCAAACGGGAUUAGAUACCCCGGUAGUC
rnacentral:rRNA from 1 species